rnacentral:rRNA from 1 species
UACGAAAGGGGGCUAGCGUUGUUCGGAUUUACUGGGCGUAAAGCGCACGUAGGCGGAUCUUUAAGUCAGAGGUGAAAUCCCAAGGCUCAACCUUGGAACUGCCUUUGAUACUGGGGAUCUUGAGUCCGGGAGAGGUGAGUGGAACUGCGAGUGUAGAGGUGAAAUUCGUAGAUAUUCGCAAGAACACCAGUGGCGAAGGCGGCUCACUGGCCCGGUACUGACGCUGAGGUGCGAAAGCGUGGGGAGCAAACAGG